rnacentral:rRNA from 1 species
CCUACGGGAGGCUGCAGUGAGGAAUAUUGGUCAAUGGUCGAGAGCCUGAACCAGCCAAGCCGCGUGAAGGAUGAAGGAACAAUGGAUCGUAAACUUCUUUUAUAUGGGAAUAAAGUGUGGGACGUGUUCCUUUUUGUAUGUACCAGAUGAAAAAGCAUCGGCUAACUCCGUGCCAGCAGCCGCGGUAAUACGGAGGAUGCGAGCGUUAUCCGGAUUUAUUGGGUUUAAAGGGUGCGUAGGUGGUUAAUUAAGUCAGCGGUGAAAGUUUGUGGCUCAACCAUAGAAUUGCCGUUGAAACUGGUUGACUUGAGUUGGAUUGAGGUAGGCGGAAUGCGUGGUGUAGCGGUGAAAUGCAUAGAUAUCGCGCAGAACUCCGAUUGCGAAGGCAGCUUACUAAACUAUAACUGACGCUGAAGCACGAAAGCGUGGGGAUCAAACAGGAUUAGAUACCCCGGUAGUC